GCUGGCGGCAGGCCUAACACAUGCAAGUCGAGCGAGAAAGCACUUCGGUGCGAGUAGAGCGGCGGACGGGUGAGUAACGCGUAGGAAUCUACCUGGUAGUGGGGGACAACUCGGGGAAACUCGAGCUAAUACCGCAUACGCCCUUCGGGGGAAAGCGGGGGAUCUUCGGACCUCGCGCUAUUGGAUGAGCCUGCGUCGGAUUAGCUUGUUGGUAAGGUAAAAGCUUACCAAGGCUGCGAUCGGUAGCUGGUCUGAGAGGAUGUCCAGCCACACUGGGACUGAGACACGGCCCAGACUCCUACGGGAGGCAGCAGUGGGGAAUAUUGCGCAAUGGGGGCAACCCUGACGCAGCCAUACCGCGUGGAUGAAGAAGGCCUUAGGGUCGUAAAGUCCACUUUCAAUUGGGAAGAAAAGCUUGUCGUUAAUAGCGGCAAGCCCUGACAUUACCUUUAGAAGAAGCACCGGCUAACUCCGUGCCAGCAGCCGCGGUAAUACGGAGGGUGCGAGCGUUAAUCGGAAUUACUGGGCGUAAAGCGCGCGUAGGUGGUUUGUUAAGUCAGCUGUGAAAGCCCCGGGCUCAACCUGGGAAUUGCAGUUGAUACUGGCCGACUAGAGUACGAGAGAGGGAGGUAGAAUUCCAUGUGUAGCGGUGAAAUGCGUAGAUAUAUGGAGGAAUACCAGUGGCGAAGGCGGCCUCCUGGCUCGAUACUGACGCUGAGGUGCGAAAGCGUGGGGAUCAAACAGGAUUAGAUACCCUGGUAGUCCACGCCGUAAACGAUGUCUACUAGCCGUUGGGAGACUUGAUUUCUUAGUGGCGCAGCUAACGCAAUAAGUAGACCGCCUGGGGAGUACGGCCGCAAGGUUAAAACUCAAAUGAAUUGACGGGGGCCCGCACAAGCGGUGGAGCAUGUG
rnacentral:rRNA from 1 species